rnacentral:rRNA from 1 species
CCCUUAGAUGUCCUGGGCCGCACGCGCGUUACACUGAUGCAUUCAACGAGCUUAUAACCUUGGCCGAGAGGCCUGGGCAAUCUUGUUAACGUGCAUCGUGAUAGGGAUAGAUUAUUGAAAUUAUUAAUCUUGAACGAGGAAUUCCUAGUAAACGCAGAUCAUCAAUCUGCAUUGAUUACGUCCCUGCCCUUUGUGCACACCGCCCGUCGCACCUACCGAUUGGAUGGUCCGGUGAAGCCUCGGGAUUGUGGUUCUUGCCGCUUUAUUGUGGCGUGACCGCGAGAACUUGUCUAAACCUUAUCAUCUAGAGGAAGGUGAAGCCGUAACA